rnacentral:rRNA from 1 species
UACGUAGGGUGCGAGCGUUUGUCCGGAAUUAUUGGGCGUAAAGGGCUCGUAGGCGGUUUGUCGCGUCGGGAGUGAAAUCCACUGGCUUAACUGGUGGCUUGCUUUCGAUACGGGCAGACUGGAGGUAUGCAGGGGGAGAACGGAAUUCCUGGUGUAGCGGUGAAAUGCGCAGAUAUCAGGAGGAACACCGGUGGCGAAGGCGGUUCUCUGGGCAUGUCCUGACGCUGAG